CAGCAGUCGCCGCGGUAAUACAGAGGGUGCGUGCGUUAAUCGGAUUUACUGGGCGUAAAGCGUGCGUAGGCGGCUUCUUAAGUCGGAUGUGAAAUCCCUGAGCUUAACUUAGGAAUUGCAUUCGAUACUGGGAAGCUAGAGUAUGGGAGAGGAUGGUAGAAUUCCAGGUGUAGCGGUGAAAUGCGUAGAGAUCUGGAGGAAUACCGAUGGCGAAGGCAGCCAUCUGGCCUAAUACUGACGCUGAGGUACGAAAGCAUGGGGAGCAAACAGGAUUAGAUACCCCUGUAGUCCCUGUCUCUUAUAC
rnacentral:rRNA from 1 species